AUAGUUUAAUUCUAGCUAAAUUUUUAGUAUACUCUUAGUCCUAUAUGCUAACUUUAUAAAAUAUGAAGAGUAGUAAAUGGCAGUAGGUAGACUUAUUUAUGUGUCAUUACAUGAAAUUGUUGAGGAGUAAUAAACUUGGCUAAUACUGUGCCAGCAGCAGCGGUUAUACAAUAAAGAUUUAAACAGAAAAAUUUUAUAAUAAUAGAUUAAAUUAAAUUUAAGGUAAAAUUUUGUUUUAGAGUUCUUAUGCUAUUAGACUAAAGAUAUAACUUAAAACAAGGAUUAGAUACCCUUUUAUUUUUAUUCAAUAUAUAAAUUGGGGAGUACGAGCUAUAGCUUAAAAACCAAAGAACAUGGCGGUAUCUUAUUCGAUCAGGGUGGCAUGUAUCUUAAUUUGAUAGCCCACACUUUUUAAUCCUAACUUUGAUAUUCAGUAUGUGUACUGCCGUAAAACAUAAUUCUAUAGAAUAGUGUAAGAUAUAUUUAUAUGUAUAUACAUAAACAUAUAUUAAAAGUCAGGUCCAAGCGCAGCUAAUGGUUAGGUGAGAAUGUGCUACAUUUAUUUAAACAUUCAGAUUAUUUAUUUAAAAUUAAAUAAAAAGAAGAACUUGAUAGUAAUUAAAUUGAUUUAUUUUAAUGAAUAGUUUUUAAGAUAUGUACAAAUCGCCCGUCACUCCUUUAUAAAGGAUAAGUCGUAACAUAGUAGAUGUAAUGGAAAUUGUAUCU
rnacentral:ncRNA from 1 species